UGACUCCUCCAGCUCUCUUCCUCCUGGCGUCUUGUCCGUGCUGUGCAGAUUGUUUUCCACGACACCAUCCGUACCAAAAGCUAGCAGGUUAUUCAGCCGUUCCCUAUUCUCAGAUAGAACGACAGUCUCGAUACCCAAUCAAGUACAGCACCAGACAUAGGGUGUCAGCCACGCCGACCAGAUGGAGAGCGGCGAUCUGAUAUCCCGUCAUACCGCCUGGAGCAAUCGAAGAGACGAUGGAAGGCAUCACAAAGUAGCCCUAUUCACAUCACAGAUGGUGUUGACCGCCAAGAGGUAAUGAUUCGUAGCUUUUCUGAUGUAUUGAGACUGUACAAAUUUGUCUUGCAUGUUCUAGGUUUAUAUUAUACGCUAUCUCUGUAGCUAUCAGAUCCAGAGCUCUGCUGCUAUCAGAUCCAUGUACAGGAAUGAUAUGGAAUAGGCUAUCUACAGGCGACUCACUCUAAAGCUCUUGGCGGCCACUAUCUAUUAAUUAGCUGCUCAGCGCAAUCUACAAUCACAUACAGGGAACUGGCGAACUGCAUUGUAGGAGUAUUGGUCAGGGAACUGGCGAACUACAUUGUAGGAGUAUUGGUCAUCCAGCUUCAGGGACCUUUUGAGGCGGUUAUUUCGAGAUCCAUGUGCGACACUUCACAGCCUGCAAAUGUUAUACGCCUGAAGAUUUGAUGGGCUAUCAAUAAGUUUGCUGUUCGAUCAUAGACUACACAACGAAGGUCUGAAAUUAAGUAUGGACAGAGUGUAGAGAAUAUCACCGAGGUAAUACAUGUGACUGGUAGAGAUUUCUGAGAGAUUCAGGAUGUACUAAUGUUCAGCGAGUAAGGUAUAGCUACAAUCUAGCACCAUCUCUUGCACUAUUAAUUCAAUUUAGUGUGAUCGAAUUUUUAAGAAAUCCAUGUGUAGUUCUCUUGCACCUCGGUAGACACAUGUUAUGUUCUUGGAAGUGCAAUGUUUCUACUAUCUUAAAGUAGCUCUUGAUGGUUUUUUGCAUAUUUUAUUUCUUACAACCGAAAUAUCUCUACAUCUAUAAAGUCGAAUUUCCUGAAGUUAUACAUUAUACAGUGAGAACAAAAUUACUGCUUCCAAUCUCUUGAUGGUGAUUAGUCUGAACGGAAAAUUGCCAUAUAUGUAUGUUCUCCCACGUUUCUACAUACAAGUAGCUUGAUAAAUUUUCCUCUUAUUUCUGUUGUAUAUUCUUUCUAGGUUUGGCUCUAAUCAGCUAUGAUAUGCUGAUACUGCAGGAUCAAUUAAACUAGCUAAACUGAUGCACAUAGAUAUCCUAUUAAUAGUGUUGAAGUUCACUUUUUAGAGGUAAAGCAUGGAAAUACCAGUUGAUAUCGAUGUGUGUAUAUUAUUUGAUAUAUUUUACUUAGGAACAUCACACUACUUCUAAUAAAGUAUUCCUCUUCCGUAUUCCAGGUUUGUGUUGCCAUUGGUAUUGUUAAUUUACUACUAGCAUAUACUCUGCGUACUAAUGAAGAGCAUUCAGAGUGCACAAGAGCGUACGAGGAUCAAUACUGAAGUUAAUAUAUCAUCCAAGUUAUACAUGAUUCUAUCGAGAUUGUUGUUGGUCCACGUCCUUGAUGCAUGUGCAUAUAGUUUUGUCCAUGUAAUCAUGGAGGAAACUCCAAUAACCAUGCAAUAUGACAUCCCAAACUGUGAAUCGUCGAGCUAUAAGAAAUAAGACUUAAAUCUAUGUAAAAUAUACGUGAAUAAUUGUGAGAAUAUGAAUAAUUUCUCCCCAUUGACUACAUAUGAAAAUUGUCACAUGUUUCACAACCAAUUUUUGGUGUGUCAACCGUGCCAGCCACGUCGACGAGUCACAGCAUUAUAGGCUCACGGAACGGAAGGCAUCCAAGAGGAGGUCGUUGGCAUGUGAGCACUGAUCAACAAACCGAUGCCAAUAGGUCACAAAGGGAAUGGAUAAUAACUGCAUUGCCACAUGGGCAGGGGGCGGACAACACAAAGGAAUCGGCUCAUGCCUCUUGGACAAUUAUUAACAAGAUGGUGGUGCUCAAAAUACUUUUUAAUUGGUUUUGAAGCAUAUAUGUUGUUAUUUUUUUAUAGCAGUGUCACACUUGAUCUUCUAGACAUUACAUUGCUUUUGAAGCAUAUAUAGUUGUUACUUUUUAUGCAACUAUUGUACAUAGGAAAAUAUUUAUUUAUUGCCACUGAUAAGCAUAUAUUCAAUUAUAAGAUUAAUCAAA